GACGAACGCUGGCGGCGUGCUUAACACAUGCAAGUCGAACGGUAAGGCCCUGCUUUUGUGGGGUGCGCGAGUGGCGAACGGGUGAGUAACACGUGAGUGACCUGCCCUUUACUUUGGGAUAACUUCAGGAAACUGGGGCUAAUACCGGAUAGGAGCUCCUUCUACAUGGUGGGUGUGGGAAAGUGUCGGCGGUUGGGGAUGGACUGGCGGCUUAGCAGCGUGUUGGUGGGGUGGUGGCUUACCAAGGCGUUGACGGGUAGCCGGCUUGGGAGGGUGACCGGCCCCAUUGGGACUGAGAUAGCGGCAAGACUCAUACGGGAGCAAGCAGUGGGGAUUAGUGCACAAUGGGCGGAAGCCGGAUGGAGCAACGCCGCGUCGGGGAUCACGGCCGUCGGGUUGUAAACCGCGUUCGCCUGUGAAGAAGCGCGAGUGACGGUAAUGGGUAAAGAAGCACCGGCUAACUACGUG
rnacentral:rRNA from 1 species